GACGAACGCUGGCGGCGUGCUUAACACAUGCAAGUCACGGGGGCCCGCAAGGGCAACCGGCGAACGGGUGCGUAACACGUGAGCAAGCUUCCGAUUUGUGGGGGAUAGUCGGCCUAACGGCCGGGUAAUACCGCAUACGUUCACCGGACGGCAUCGUCUGGUGAGGAAACCUCCGGGGCAAAUCGAGGCGCUCGCGGCCUAUCAGCUAGUUGGCGGGGUAACGGCCCACCAAAGCGACGACGGGUAGCUGGUCUGAGAGGAUGGCCAGCCACAUUGGGACUGCGACACGGCCCAGACUCCUACGGGAGGCAGCAGUGGGGAAUAUUGCGCAAUGGACGAAAGUCUGACGCAGCGACGCCGCGUGUGGGAUGACGCCUUUCGGGGUGUAAACCACUGUUGCCCGGGACGAAACUCCUUUUUCGAGAGGAUUGACGGUACCGGGUGAGGAAGCACCGGCUAACUCUGUGCCAGCAGCCGCGGUAAUACAGAGGGUGCGAGCGUUGUCCGGAAUCACCGGGCGUAAA
rnacentral:rRNA from 1 species